AAGUCAGUGGCGUCACAUCCUGGCAACGGUACUACCCUGGGUUCCGGGCAGGGGUGGAACUGGAUUCUGCCUGGAUGGGGAUCGGAUGGGGGUGGAGGUUUGAUUUGGGAAGCAGAGCACAGCAGCCCAAAUUUGUUGUAAUGGCGGCGGCUACAGACUUGGCAUAUGGCAUAAGACACACAGAGAGAGCCUUGCUGGUGUAGCUGAGAUUUACGACCCUCAUCCAACCAAACCAUUUCAGAUUCUUGGGGCUCAGAGCUCUCAUCGGAAAGACAUCUAUUCUGGGAGCAGGUAUAUCUCUUGCUGAGCAUGUGCUUCCACCCUGGAGGUGUCUUGGGUGAGCAUAGGUACCCUUGUGACUAUGAAGAUUGACAAAAAGUUGACGGCAACGAUGAAUUCUCUUCCAGAACUUACAUCCCAGAAGGCCCUCCCCUACUUCGGGUCUCCCUAGAGUUGAAGAAACUAAGGUUCAGAAGAACAAUGGCCUGUCCAGGAUCUCACAACCAGCAUCUACUUGUUCCAGUUCAAGUUAGGUUUGGCUGUUAAUAACAUCACCUGGUGGAUCAAG